GACGAACGCUGGCGGCGUGCUUAACACAUGCAAGUCGAACGGAAAGGCCCUGCUUUUGUGGGGUGCUCGAGUGGCGAACAGGUGAGUAACACGUGUGUAACCUGCCCUUGACUUUGGGAUAACUUCAGGAAACUGGGGCUAAUACCGGAUAGGAGCUCCUGCUGCAUGGUGGUGGUUGGAAAGUUUCGGCGGUUCGGGAUGGACUCGCGGCUUAUCAGCUUGUUGGUGGGGUAGUGGCUUACCAAGGCUGUGACGGGUAGCCGGCCUGAGAGGGUGACCGGCCACAUUGGGACUGCGAUACGCCCCAGACUCCUACGGGAGGCAGCAGUGGGGAAUAUUGCAGAAUGGGCGGAAGCCUGAGGCAGCAACGCCGCGUGCGGGAUGACGGCCUUCGGGUUGUAAACCGCUUUCGCCUGUGACGAAGCGUGAGUGACGGUAAUGGGUAAAGAAGCACCGGCUAACUACGUG
rnacentral:rRNA from 1 species